UAACCAUAGAACAAAAAUUCUUUUCGAAGACCCAUAGAAGAAAAAGCUGGCAGGAGUAAAGCCAGGCUAUGAGCCUACAGGACCGUCAAGUCACUAAGUCCCUGAAAAUGGCUACAGCA
rnacentral:snoRNA from 1 species